rnacentral:rRNA from 1 species
AUUGAACGCUGGCGGCAGGCCUAACACAUGCAAGUCGAGCGGAUGAAGGGAGCUUGCUCCUGGAUUCAGCGGCGGACGGGUGAGUAAUGCCUAGGAAUCUGCCUGGUAGUGGGGGAUAACGUCCGGAAACGGGCGCUAAUACCGCAUACGUCCUGAGGGAGAAAGUGGGGGAUCUUCGGACCUCACGCUAUCAGAUGAGCCUAGGUCGGAUUAGCUAGUUGGUGGAGUAAAGGCCUACCAAGGCGACGAUCCGUAACUGGUCUGAGAGGAUGAUCAGUCACACGGGAACGGAGACGCGGCCCAGACUCCUACGGGAGGCAGCAGGGGGGAAUCUGGGACAAGGGGCGAAGGCCUGACCGAGCAAUGCCGCGUGAGAGAAGAAGGUGUUGGGAUAGUAAACCUGUUUAAUUGGGGAGGAAGGAAAGAAUUUUAAUCCGUGCUUGUUUGGACUUUACCAAAAAAAAAAGCCCCGGCUAACUUCGUG